rnacentral:rRNA from 1 species
GACGAACGCUGGCGGCGUGCUUAACACAUGCAAGUCGAACGGAAAGGCUCCUGCUUGCAGGGGUACUCGAGUGGCGAACGGGUGAGUAACACGUGGGUGAUCUGCCUUGUACUCUGGGAUAAGCUUGGGAAACUGGGUCUAAUACCGGAUAGUAGCCGCCUUUAGUGUGGUGGUUGGAAAGUUUUUUCGGUGCAAGAUGAGCUCGCGGCCUAUCAGCUUGUUGGUGGGGUAAUGGCCUACCAAGGCGUCGACGGGUAGCCGGCCUGAGAGGGUGUACGGCCACAUUGGGACUGAGAUACGGCCCAGACUCCUACGGGAGGCAGCAGUGGGGAAUAUUGCACAAUGGGCGGAAGCCUGAUGCAGCGACGCCGCGUGGGGGAUGACGGCCUUCGGGUUGUAAACUCCUUUCGACAGGGACGAAGCUUUUUGUGACGGUACCUGUAUAAGAAGCACCGGCUAACUACGUGCCAGCAGCCGCGGUAAUACGUAGGGUGCGAGCGUUGUCCGGAAUUACUGGGCGUAAAGAGCUCGUAGGUGGUUUGUCGCGUCGUCUGUGAAAUUCCGGGGCUUAACUCCGGGCGUGCAGGCGAUACGGGCAUAACUUGAGUGCUGUAGGGGAGACUGGAAUUCCUGGUGUAGCGGUGAAAUGCGCAGAUAUCAGGAGGAACACCGAUGGCGAAGGCAGGUCUCUGGGCAGUAACUGACGCUGAGGAGCGAAAGCAUGGGUAGCGAACAGGAUUAGAUACCCUGGUAGUCCAUGCCGUAAACGGUGGGCGCUAGGUGUAGGGGGCUUCCACGUCUUCUGUGCCGUAGCUAACGCAUUAAGCGCCCCGCCUGGGGAGUACGGCCGCAAGGCUAAAACUCAAAGGAAUUGACGGGGGCCCGCACAAGCGGCGGAGCAUGUGGAUUAAUUCGAUGCAACGCGAAGAACCUUACCUGGGCUUGACAUACACUAGAUUGCUGCAGAGAUGUAGUUUCCCUUGUGGUUGGUGUACAGGUGGAGCAUGGUUGUCGUCAGCUCGUGUCGUGAGAUGUUGGGUUAAGUCCCGCAACGAGCGCAACCCUUGUCUUAUGUUGCCAGCAUUUGGUUGGGGACUCAUGAGAGACUGCCGGGGUUAACUCGGAGGAAGGUGGGGAUGACGUCAAAUCAUCAUGCCCCUUAUGUCCAGGGCUUCACACAUGCUACAAUGGUCGGUACAACGCGCAGUGACACUGUGAGGUGGAGCGAAUCGCUGAAAGCCGGCCUUAGUUCGGAUUGGGGUCUGCAACUCGACCCCAUGAAGUCGGAGUCGCUAGUAAUCGCAGAUCAGCAAUGCUGCGGUGAAUACGUUCCCGGGCCU